rnacentral:rRNA from 1 species
UGGGGAAUAUUGGACAAUGGGCGAAAGCCUGAUCCAGCAAUGCCGCGUGUGUGAAGAAGGCCUUCGGGUUGUAAAGCACUUUCGGUGGGGAGGAUGUUAACUUUAUUUAAUAGAUAAGGUUGAUGACGUUACCCACAGAAGAAGCACCGGCUAACUCUGUGCCAGCAGCCGCGGUAAUACAGAGGGUGCAAGCGUUAAUCGGAAUUACUGGGCGUAAAGGGUGAGUAGGUGGUAAAUUAAGUUAUGUGUGAAAUUUUUGAGCUUAACUUGAAGACUGCACAUAAUACUGAAUUACUAGAGUACUGUAGAGGGUGGUGGAAUUUCCGGUGUAGCGGUGAAAUGCGUAGAUAUCGGAAGGAACACCAGUGGCGAAGGCGACCACCUGGACAGAUACUGACACUAAUACACGAAAGCGUGGGUAGCGAACAGG